UACGUAGGUGGCAAGCGUUGUCCGGAUUUACUGGGCGUAAAGGGCGUGUAGGCGGUCUGUUAAGUGCAGGGUGAAAGCUCCCGGCUCAACUGGGAGAGGUCCUUGCAUACUGGCGGACUUGAGGGGGGUAGAGGAAAGUGGAAUUCCCGGUGUAGUGGUGAUAUGCGUAGAUAUCGGGAGGAACACCUGUGGCGAAGGCGGUUGCCUGGAGCUUUGCUGACGCUGAUGCGCGAAAGCGUGGGGAGCGAUCCGG
rnacentral:rRNA from 1 species